UUAUGUGCUUGGCUUAUAGUAACCACUUAAUAAAUAUCCAAUUUAUAACUAUCAUUAACAGAACUGGGUGUACGUCCUUUGGAAUUUCCUCAGCACACGGCAGAACACACCGCAUACAGUGAGUGUUCAGUAAAGUGUCCAAGGUUCCUUCCCAUAUUAUGGGGGAUGUGAAAGAGUCACACAGAGGUGUAAGAGACAUGAGCUGGAAAGGCCAUUUCAAAUCGCUGGAUGGGGUGAUUCAACACGCAAGCGGAGGCGGACACCCCAAGGGAAGAACAUAAAUAAAAGUACAACAAGCACCCCACGCCCUCGCCGAUGCGGAGCUGUUGGCGGAUCUAAGUGGAUGAUUUUACUCCAGCAAUACGCCGGGAGACAAGAUGACUCAUGGGAGCGGGAUUGACAGACCCACUAGAGCCAGUUGGCUUUAAAACAAUGACAUAUUAAAAGAACCAAAGUCUGAGUUGAAACGAACAUUUGAGAACCCCAGUGCCUAAAUCCCAAGCUGUCCCACCACUACCGUGGCAGUAAGUUCCUCAAAGAUGCAGAAAAGUCACUCAGGUCCCCCAAGGGCCCUUUAUCUGUGUGGGGUUGGACAGAAAUAUGAGAUGAUGGGAAGCAAGUCUGAAACAUAGCAAAAACAAGCUGAAAUUUCACGAUCAGUACUGUCCACGGGCAAAAGAAUAAUCACAUAACGGAACUUAUUAAGCACUUAUUGAGUGCUAGUAAGCACUGCAGUAGAUCCGAGACAUCAGGUUAGGCCCAGUACUCGUUGCAUAUAUGGCUCCAAGUCUAAGUAGGAGGUAGUAGGAUUUAAUUCCUUUCAUUCAUUCAGUCGUAUUUAAUGAGCGCUUACUGUGUACAGAACACUGUACUAAGUGCUUGGGAGAGAACAGUAUAACAGUAAACAGACACAUUUCCUGCCCACAGUGAGCUUCCAGUCUAGAGGGGGAGACAGACAUUAAUAUAAAUAAAUAAAUAACAGAUAUGUACAUAAGUGCUGGGGUUGUUGCAAGAUAAGCAGGUGGGACGCAGUUCAUGUCUUGCAUGGGACUUGCAGUGUUAGUGCAAGAGUUGGCUUGUUUUCUUUUGUUUUGUUGUGUCUCCUCACUUCUAGACUGUGAGCCCAUUGUUGGGUAGGGGUUGUUUCUAUCUGUUGCAGAAGCGUACUUUCCAACUGCUUAGUACAGUGCUUUGCACACAGUAAGCGCUAAAUAAAUACAACUGACUGACUGAAUGAUUGAAUCCUCAUUUGACAGUUGAGAAAAUUGAGGCACAGAGAAGUUAAGUAACUGGCCCGAGGUCACACAGCAGACGAGUGGUGGAGCUGGCACUAGAACCCGGGUCUUCUGAUUCCCAGGCCCCUGCUCUUUCCUCUAGGCCACGCCGCUUCUCGGUGGGCUCUUUCUUUACCAGUUCAAUUGCACUGUGUGCUCC
rnacentral:lncRNA from 1 species